UGCGCAGGGCGUGCUUCAUGACGAUCUUGGGAAAGCUGACACCUUUCAGGCGGGCUGUGCGGAUGUAUUGCGCGGUCAUCACCUCGGUCAUUGAGGCGCGCGUCAUCCGCGCGAUAUACCCCAUGCCGUAAAGGGCGAUGGUGAUGACGGGUAGAAAGAAAUUCUCAAACGUUGCAUCA
rnacentral:ncRNA from 1 species